rnacentral:rRNA from 1 species
UACAGAGGGUGCAAGCGUUAUUCGGAAUUAUUGGGCAUAAAGCGCAUGUAGGUGGUUUGGUAAGUCUGAUGUGAAAUCCCCGGACUCAAUUCGGGAAGUGCAUUGGAUACUGCCAGACUGGAGUAUGGGAGAGGUGAGCGGAAUUCCAGGUGUAGAGGUGAAAUUCGUAGAUAUCUGGAGGAACAACAGAGGCGAAGGCGGCUCACUGGACCAUUACUGACACUGAGAUGCGAAAGCGUGGGGAGCAAACAGG